AGUGAACGCUGGCGGUAGGCCUAACACAUGCAAGUCGAACGGCAGCACAGUAAGAGCUUGCUCUUACGGGUGGCGAGUGGCGGACGGGUGAGGAAUACAUCGGAAUCUACUUUUUCGUGGGGGAUAACGUAGGGAAACUUACGCUAAUACCGCAUACGACCUACGGGUGAAAGCAGGGGAUCUUCGGACCUUGCGCGAUUGAAUGAGCCGAUGUCGGAUUAGCUAGUUGGCGGGGUAAAGGCCCACCAAGGCGACGCUCCGUAGCUGGUCUGAGAGGAUGAUCAGCCACAUUGGAACUGAGACACGGCCAAGACUCCUACGGGAGGCGGCAGUGGGGAAUAUUGGACAAUGGGCGCAAGCCUGAUCCAGCCAGACCGCGUGGGGGAAGAAGGCUUUCGGGUUGUAAAGCCCGUUGGUUGGGAAAGAAAAGCAUCAGGUUAGAACCCCGCUGUUCUGACGGUACCCAAAGAAUAAGCACCGGCUAACUUCGUG
rnacentral:rRNA from 1 species